AUUGAACGCUGGCGGCAGGCCUAACACAUGCAAGUCGAGCGGAUGAAGGGAGCUUGCUCCUGGAUUCAGCGGCGGACGGGUGAGUAAUGCCUAGGAAUCUGCCUGUAGGUGGGGGAUAAGGUCGGAAAACGGGCGCUAAACCGGCAUCCGUCCUGAGGGAGAAGGUGGGGGUCCUUGGGACCUCACGCUAUAAAAGAACCCUAGGUCGGAUUAGCUAGUUGGUGGGGUAAAGGCCUACCAAGGCGACGAUCCGUAACUGGUCUGAGAGGAUGAUCAGUCACACUGGAACUGAGACACGGUCCAGACUCCUACGGGAGGCAGCAGUGGGGAAUAUUGGACAAUGGGCGAAAGCCUGAUCCAGCCAUGCCGCGUGUGUGAAGAAGGUCUUCGGAUUGUAAAGCACUUUAAGUUGGGAGGAAGGGCAGUAAGUUAAUACCUUGCUGUUUUGACGUUACCAACAGAAUAAGCACCGGCUAACUUCGUG
rnacentral:rRNA from 1 species